AAAAUAGGAUAAUUUUUGUUGUUUAAGCUAUUGGAAGUCAAAUUUGUUAUUGUUUUAUUCUUUAUAUUUAUUCACUUUAUUUUAAAAAAUUUGAAUAUUUACAAUCAAAAAUAACAAUAAGCAAGCAAGCAAGACUACUAAAUAAGAGGGUAAUUCAACGAGAAACAUGACAUUUCCAUGUUAAAAGAAAACCGAUAAAAUAUUAAGAGUUUAUCUACUUAUGCUGAGAUUGCCGUGAUACAAAGAUGCUGACUAUUGCAAUAAAAUGUGACUUGCUGUUCAAAACAUUGGGUAAAACAUAAUCCAACAAGGAAUUUGAAGCAUUAUGUUUCAAGUUUGGUUUAGAGCUGGAUGAAGUAACAAUGGAAAAGCAAAUGAUAGCAAAAGAGUAGGGUUUUGAUCAAGAUACAGAUGCGUCCGAAGAAAUUAUCAACAAGAUUAAUAUACUUGCCAACAGAUAUGAUCUAUUAUGCUUGGAAACUCUAAAUAUUGGACUACUUAUAUUUUUGCAUAAGUAAAUAUUAUGUAAUUUAUAGUUUAGAUUUAAAAAAUCAUUUCUUAAAUUUAUUCAAAGAUAAUAUUUCUAACAAAAUUACG